GGGAGGGCAGAAGCAUAUUCUGGAACUUUGAAUCAACCUUUGACCAUUUCCUUUUAAGAUGUCAGGGCUACUGUUUUGAGGAAGGUAGAAAAUAAAGAUGGUUCCAGAAGCCCUGACAUGCUGCAGUCGGAAGUUUCCUUUUCCAUGGGAGGGAGGCAUUCAUCUACAGACUCCAACAAGGCCUCCAGCGGAGACAUCUCCCCUUAUGACAACAACUCCCCAGUGCUGUCUGAGCGCUCCCUGCUGGCUAUGCAAGAGGACAGGGCCCCGGGGGGCUCAGAGAAGCUUUACAAAGUGCCAGAACAGUAUAUGCUGGUGGGCCACUUGCCGUCGCCAAAGUCAAAGUCAAGGGAAAGUUCUCCUGGACCAAGGCUUGGAAAAGGUACCUGGAGCCUGGCUGGUGACAGCCAAAUUAAGCAUCUCUCCUUUUGUUUCAUGUAACAACAGGGUGGGCCAUUUGGAAAUUUCCUCAUCUGGUUCUUGAUGCUUCUGCAAUU
rnacentral:lncRNA from 1 species